rnacentral:rRNA from 1 species
GACGAACGCUGGCGGCGUGCUUAACACAUGCAAGUCGAACGGAAAGGCCUGCUUUCCCUUGUGGAUUGCGGGUACUCGAGUGGCGAACGGGUGAGUAACACGUGAGUGAUCUGCCCCCAACUUGGGUAUAAGCCUGGGAAACUGGGUCUAAUUCCCGAUAGGACUGCAGGGUGGUGCCUGUGUUGGAAAACGAUUUUCUAGUGGUUGGGGAUGAGCUCGCGGCCUAUCAGCUUGUUGGUGGGGUAAUGGCCUACCAAGGCGGCGACGGGUAGCCGGCCUGAGAGGGUGGACGGCCACAUUGGGACUGAGAUACGGCCCAGACUCCUACGGGAGGCAGCAGUGGGGAAUAUUGCACAAGGGGCGGAAGCCUGAUGCAGCGACGCCGCGUGGGGGAUGACGGCCUUCGGGUUGUAAACUCCUUUCGACCGCGAGGAAGCCACCUGGUUGGAAGGGUGGUGACGGUAGUGGUAGAAGAAGCACCGGCUAACUACGUG